AUGGUCACCAUUGGGUCAGUGUUGGAGCCCAGGCCCCGUCAGUCUUUGCAUCCAGUCCAAGGAGAUUACUUAGUUCCAGAGCUGGUGGUGCCUGUUCAGGAAGAGAUGGCUGCCUGAACCCCCUGUAAAAGGCCGAGGGACAGUCAGCCUUCCAGCGACCUGUUUGAUGUCACCGUGGGCAAGGGCCUGGCGGUGGUCCUUGCAGAUUUGGAAUUAUUUGCUGAGUGCAUUGUUUGGCCCAGGGGCCUGUUUUGCCUCAACGAAAGCAUGGGCGGAGAGGCACUUUUUCACUCUCUAGAUUUUUACUACCACGGUUGAACCUGGGCUGCCUCAAGGCAUUGGCAAGGAGCAUCCACUGGCAGCAUCCUUAAAGUCCAGAUUUCUGCUAACAAUCUGUUCAAGCCUCCAGGUUGCCACAGAAUGGGAAGAGAAUCUGGAGACAUGUGGUCCUCAAAGUGGUCGCAUCUCCUCUAUAUAUUCCAUGGACGAGAAGAUUUCCAGCCACUCUUACAGCAUGAUCUCACAAUUUAACUUAUUGAGUCGUCCAUCUAGUAUAAAGAGCGAGUUUUUGGAAGGUGUCAUCAGAUAUUGACCAAACAAGCCGCUGUCCUGGAUUUGCCUGUUCUUCUGGUUCCAAGGCCAUUCUUCUGCCUUGAGUGGUUCCUUAAGGCUCUUUAACAUCUUAACAUUCCCAGAGGAGAGCUCCACAAAUAGUACAUCAGUUUGCAUACUUGAACUACCAUAGAUAUUGUAUUGGUGAGCUUCCGUAAAGGAUGGUUGAAAUGCCACAUCAGAUAUGUGCAAAUUUGUGUGAAUAUCAAAAGCCUCCUGUAUUUCUCCUCUGAUGGAAAUGUACUGCACCCACACAAGACCUUUCACAUCAUUAAUGCUGACAAGAUAGUGCCCGUCAGGGGAGACAUACGGCGUGCCUGUUACAUCACCGUUGAAUCCAAUGACUGAGUCGGUGACACCGUCCACUAUGAGCUGUGGUGGGAUUGCUCCAGUGCUGUCAGGUUUGCAGCCAAUAAAGUAGUAUCCUCCCAGGUGUGUAUAAGCCAGUGAUUGAGGAAUGCACUUGUACUCCCUCAAGUUAAUUGUCUUGAUGUAAGACAUGGUUUCAAGGUCAAUUUUUUGUAGUGCAGCUUCAUCUUUAUGAAGUAUAAAUCCAAACCUGAAAAGAUGAAAACCAAUGUUAAGACAGGAAACUAUAGAAUGAUUACUAUAAGCAAAUGCAUUGUGGAAAGGUGGAAAAGGUGGAAAGUCAAAGGAGUAAUUCUUAGGUUGUGCUACAAUAUAGCUCACAAGAGAGAACUGAAGUUGAAAUUGUAUUGCUCUCCUCUUUUCUCUAAGUCAUUCUUUCAUUACUUCCAAACAAUUAUAACUCAUGGUAUAGAAACCAGAAUAAUUAAAAGUAAUUUAUCUAGUUCACUGAAGUGACAUGUUUUGCUUUUAACAUGGAAGGAAAACAAAGUAAACACUAUUAUAUAGGUUUCUAAAUCAUGUGAUAAUGAAUAAACUUAGUUAACUGCUACUAAACCUAGCAAGGAUAAAAGGAUAAAAGGCUUGAAUAUCUAUGUCACUCAGUUCAUUUACUUUUCAUAUUAUCUUAAGACUAUCAAAUUAGUGACACCAUGUUUAGAUAACUACCCAAAUCUUUCUCAUUUUAAUUUGCAUCAAAGGAUUACCUUAAUAAUUGCAGACUUUUUAUUGACAUAGAACUAUUAGGGUAUUUGUUAUAUUUUAAAAUCACCUUGAAAACUACUUAAUAAUUUUAUCUUUUAUUUUAUUAUUAAUUUUACACAUAAAUUACAUUUUUUGAUCUAGCCAUGCUAUAUUGUUACCAUUUUUAAUCAUAUGUCUGCUUUGCCUUGGCUGUCUUACAUUGAACAUGAAUAAUUUUCAGGAUUUUUAAUAAUUUUCUAUUAAAGCCAAGUUAAAAAUAAACAUUUGGGUUUUUAACUUUAUUUUAUUGGACUCUAAUUACUUCAGUAGUUGUCCUAAAUACUGGCUGCAAAUUAUCAAAAGUCCCUGUGGAAAGUAUAAAUAUAAUUUUAUUUACAAAGUAUAAAUAUAUUUUGAAACCUUGACCUAUUGUAUCAUUGGUUUCAUAGCAAAAAUAAGUAAAUCAAAUAAGAAAAAAUGAGAGAGGCACUACUGAACAAAAUUAACUCCAAAUUAGAUAUUGGUCAAUAGAACUGUGAAGAACUUUUUUUAUGAUUUAGGUUGACAAUAUUGAUUAAAGCACCUCCAAAUAUUUCCAAAGGCUCCAUAAAUAUAAGGGUCAGAGACAAAUUGUUCCAUCUACUGUGCUCAUAAAUGAAAAUAUAAAAUGGCCUUAUUGUGGGUGUUAAGAGACAAAGCAAAGCAAACCAAAGAAACAAAAACCCGUAAAGAGGGCCAGUUGUUUAAUUUAUUUGUGCAAUUCAUUUUCAACAUGCUAAUUAUCACAUAAUGAUUUAUUUACAUAAAAAAUGAACUUUUCCACACAUAUGGCAGAAAUGCAGUGCAUUCAGGGUAAUAUCUUCUUAAAAAUUCAAACAUAAGUGUAUGUCAAGCUCAAAAUAUAAAUAGACUCAUACCUUUAAUAUCAUAGAGAAAAAUGGAUGUUCUAAAAAUCCAUCUUGCAUUGUAAUUGUGGAAGGCAGGGAAGUGCAAAAGCACAGAUAUUUUACUAAAAUGGACACAAAUGAUUUAAGACUAGAUUGUCAUACAUGGGUGAUUUAUAGUAUGCUCAAAAAGUAUAACUUUCCAUUUUAUUGUAUUACAUAUCUCUAGGAAACAAUAUGAUAAUUUUAGCUAUAUUUGGACAUUUGUGAAGAUAUUUUGGGUUGUCAUUAUAGAGAUUUCCAUAUAAAAUAGUAACUGCAUUUUCAGCUACUCCUUUAAAGAUCGUUUACAAACAUUUAUUGAACAACUACUACUGAUACAAGGCACUGGAAUAUAUUGGAGAAUGCUAUAACAUUUCUUGCCUUCAAUGAGUUUAGAAAUCUUAAGUGAUAAAAAAUUCAAAACUGGCAAUGAUUAAUGCUUAAGUACCACACUUUUGGGGCUGUAUAUUAACAUUUGUUUUCUGCUGUACUUUUACCUAUUUAUUACUUUUUCACAGAUAUCAUUGAGAUGGCAUAAAAUAAUAAUUUUGGAAUAAUAAUUUUAGUGCAUCUCAAAUUAACAUCCACCAUU